UACGGAGGAUGCAAGCGUUAUCCGGAAUGAUUGGGCGUAAAGCGUCCGCAGGUGGCUAUGUAAGUCUGCUGUUAAAGAGUGAGGCUCAACCUCAUAAAAGCAGUGGAAACUACAUGGCUAGAGUGCGUUCGGGGCAGAGGGAAUUCCUGGUGUAGCGGUGAAAUGCGUAGAGAUCAGGAAGAACACCGGUGGCGAAAGCGGCAUCCUGGACCAACACUGACGCUGAGUGAGCGAAAGCCAGGGGAGCAAGCGGG
rnacentral:rRNA from 1 species